GAAGUAUUUUCUUUUUCCCAUUUUAUCCUCAAACAAACAACAAAUCCUCAAAGAAAUAACACCUUUGUAUCUUCUCGUCCUUUCCACUUGCUUUACAUUAUCGAACAAAGAAACCCUACAAAUUGAUUUUAUGCUCUUCUUGUUCUUCCACAGAUCUUUAGAUUAAUGCAUCUUCAGAUUAACGCACAGAUCUGCAGAUUAACACAGUCAUACAGGUUUUGUGUUCUAAAGUUUAUGGGUUUGGUUGAAAGUAAGCUUUACCCUUUUUCAAACACAAAAUCUAGAAAUCUAAAUUUUUUCUAUAAUUUUUAGUUGGAUGUUUUAUAAAAAUUGUUACUUUGUUCAUGUUCUAAAGGUUUUCUAUUUUUUUCACUUUUUUUGAAACAGAUAUCGUACCACUAUACUUUGUUAAAUUUUGAAGCUCAAAAUUUUGGAAGUCGUAUGUUUUUUUCUAAGGGUUUAAGUUUCUGUCUUUGGUUUGAUUUUUUUCUUGUCCUAUGGAAUCCCUUCUUUGUAACUUCUAUUUUUCUUUCCUUACUAUGUCUCCCGUCGGUUCACGUUGAUGUCUUGCAAAUUUCGUUUUGUGAAGUUUAUGGGUUUGAUUAAAAGAUAAGGUUUAAUAUUUCUUCAACACAAACACUAAAAAUGUACAAUUUUAACCAUAAUUUUUAGUUGAAUUUCUAUGAAAAUUGUUCAUGUUUUAAAGUUUUCGUAUUGUUUUCAUUUUCUUGGAACAAAAAUCACAGCAACGUACUUUGUUAAAUUUUCGUGCUCAAAAUUAUGGAUGUCAUAUGUUAUUUUUUAGGGGGUUUAAGUUUGCCUAUUUGAUUUAAUAUUAUUUCGUUCCUCUCUUCUUUCGGAUUUAAAGUUUUUCAAUCUAUGGUCCAUAUUUUCUUCUUCAUUUUUAUCUAAGUUAGCUUUAUUAAUUCAAUCUCAUGUUUAUUCAUUGAUAUUCUACGGGUUUAAAUGAUAUGUGUCUCUCGGAUUUUUCUUCUUUUCGUUCUCUACUGAUAGUAGGUAUGAAUUUUUUAUUAUUUUUAAUAAAUAAGUUAUUGAAUU